rnacentral:rRNA from 1 species
CCUACGGGUGGCAGCAGUGAGGAAUAUUGGUCAAUGGGCGCGAGCCUGAACCAGCCAAGUCGCGUGAAGGAUGACUGCCCUACGGGUUGUAAACUUCUUUUAUAAGGGAGUAAAUUGAGCCACGUGUGCCUUUUUGGAUGUACUUUAUGAAUAAGGCACGGCUAACUCCGUGCCAGCAGCCGCGGUAAUACGGAGGAUCCGAGCGUUAUCCGGAUUUAUUGGGUUUAAAGGGGGCGUAGGCGGGUUUUUAAGUCAGCGGUAAAAAUUCGGGGCUCAACCCCGUCCGGCCGUUGAAACUGAGGUUCUUGAGUGGGCGAGAAGAAGGCGGAAUGCGUGGUGUAGCGGUGAAAUGCAUAGAUAUCACGCAGAACCCCGAUUGCGAAGGCAGCCUUCCGGCGCCCUACUGACGCUGAGGCACGAAAGUGUGGGGAUCGAACAGGAUUAGAUACCCCUGUAGUC